UUAUUUUUUAUAUAGUGGAACGAAACGCAACGGUAAAAACUACGUCAUAAAGACCAUAACAGUGGGGUGUGUCGUUGUCCUUAUCAAAGUGAUUAACAAUGCAUUACGGCUCCGUUAUACAUAGUCCGAUGCACGAAGAUCUGCUUCAUAAAGAAGUUCAUCUAAAGGUUCAUACCAGGGUUCAUCCAGAUGUAUCAUACAAAGGUUCAUAUAAAGCAGGUGUCGAGUGUUUUGUUAAAUGGCUGUAGCCCGUGACGUAAUCAAUGUUGCGCGAAGCCGAUGUUCCUGGUUUACCAAAGAGCAAACAAGGGGUAAUAGGAAAAAAGCAUACAAAUUAAAGCACAUACGCA